AAUACAAUUGCUGGAUUAUAUGUUUAACUUUAUUAGAAAUUGCCAAGUUAUUUUCCAAAGUAGCUGUAGCAUUUUACAUUUCCAUCAGCAAU
rnacentral:pre_miRNA from 1 species